GGGAUAUAGCUCAGCUGGGAGAGCGCUGCGUUCGCAACGCAGAGGUCAGGGGUUCGAAUCCCCCUAUCUCC
rnacentral:tRNA from 1 species